CCUACGGGAGGCAGCAGUGGGGAAUAUUGCACAAUGGGGGGAACCCUGAUGCAGCGACGCCGCGUGGGUGAAGAAGUAUUUCGUUAUGUCAAGCUCUAUCAGCAGGGAAGAAAGUGACGGUACCUGAGUAAGAAGCCCCGGCUAACUAGGUGCCAGCAGCCGCGGUAAUACGUAGGGGGCAAGCGUUAUCCGGAUUUACUUGGUGUAAGGGGAGCGUAGACGGCAGUGCAAGUCUGGCGUGAAAGGCGGUGGCCCAACCCCCGGACUGCUCUGGAAACUUUAGGGCUGGAGUGCAGGAGGGGUAAGCGGAAUUCCUAGUGUAGCGGUGAAAUGCGUAGAUAUUAGGAGGAACACCAGUGGCGAAGGCGGCUUACUGGACUGUAACUGACGUUGAGGCUCGAAGGCGUGGGGAGCAAACAGGAUUAGAUACCCCAGUAGUC
rnacentral:rRNA from 1 species